AGUUCCUGGUGGUAAAAGAGAAGGAUGGGGGGGAAAUAAAAUGUGAUCAUCGUGACCUAAGAAUCAGACAGUCACUCUAAAUCGCGGGCUGCCACCCAAAGAUAUUUACUCUUGGUAAUGCAGCAGUGUAACAUGACCCUAUCAUU